AUCGACCGCUGGCGGCAGGCCUAAAACAUGCAAGUCGAACGUGUGGCAGAUUGGUGCGUAAUAUCUGGGAACGUGUCGGAUGGAAGGGGAUAACUACUGGAAAAGGUAGCUAAUACCGCAUAUCAUCAUAUGUGCUCAGGUGGGCUGAGCUAGUUGGGUGGGUAACGGCUCCUCAAGGCGACGAUCCCUACCUGGUCUACGAUGAUCAGCAUGCACACUGUAACUGCGACACGGUCCAGACUCCUAUGGGAGGCAGCAUUGGGGCAUAUUGCACACGGGGCGCAAGCCUCAUGCAGCCAUGCGUCGUGUAUGAAGAAGGCCUUCGGGUUGUAAAGUGCGUUCAGCGGGGAAGCUUUCCCCGCUGAGGAAGCACCGGCUAACUCCGUGCCCGCAGCCGCGGUAAUUC
rnacentral:rRNA from 1 species